GCUUCCGUAGUUAAACGGAUAUAACAGCCCCCUCCUAAGGGGCAGUUAGCAGUUCGAUUCUGCUCGGGAGUACCA
rnacentral:tRNA from 1 species